rnacentral:rRNA from 1 species
AUUGAACGCUGGCGGCAGGCCUAACACAUGCAAGUCGAGCGGGGUUUUCGGACCUAGCGGCGGACGGGUGAGUAAUGCGUAGGAAGCUACCCGAUAGAGGGGGAUACCAGUUGGAAACGACUGUUAAUACCGCAUAAUGUCUACGGACCAAAGUGUGGGACCUUCGGGCCACAUGCUAUCGGAUGCGCCUACGUGGGAUUAGCUAGUUGGUGAGGUAAUGGCUCACCAAGGCGACGAUCUCUAGCUGGUUUGAGAGGAUGAUCAGCCACACUGGAACGGAGACACGGUCCAGACUCCUACGGGAGGCAGCAGUGGGGAAUAUUGGACAAUGGGCGCAAGCCUGAUCCAGCCAUGCCGCGUGUGUGAAGAAGGCCUUCGGGUUGUAAAGCACUUUCAGCGAGGAGGAAGGGUGGUGUGUUAAUAGCACAUCAUUUUGACGGUACCUGCAGAAAAAGCACCGGCUAACUACGUGCCAGCCGCCGCAGUAACAC